ensembl:lncRNA
GUUCUAUGUCGGUGAGGUUUUUUUGCUGGUAUUCCUGGUCCUUAGGCAUUUCAUAUUCAACUUAAAUAGCAGUUUUUGUUGUGGCUAAUCUGCGUUUCAGUUCUUUUUUUCCGGUCCUCAAAAAAAAUGAAUCCACCAAAUGUGGACUAGGCAAACUCGUUUCCGGAAACUUUCUCUUUGGACCUAGAAGCUACCAGAGGGAAUGCCUCGCGCUUCGAGACCUCCUCAACCCUAGAAUGAAAAGUCAGUGCAAGCAGAAUUGCCGCUGGGCCGCAGUUGACUUCCGUCCCCACUAGGCCAUAGCUGACUUUGUUGACCGUAGCUGACCGUUCUCCGGCGCCGACUCUCAAUUCCUGGUCCCGGCCCCCCCAUGUCUGGCCCCGAUACCGCCAAUUCCAGCCCACAGACUCCUGGCCCACAAGCCUCCAAUGGCGGCUGCCAACUCCUGAUUCCAGAAACCCAACUUCUGACCCCGACACCGCAGACUCAGGAACCGCCAAUUCUUCCCCAUCAAAUACGGACCCCCGGAACUGAUUCCACCCCGCGCCUUCGGUCGCCCAGAGUCCGGCUCCGCGCCUUCUGUCGCCCAGAGUCCGGCUCCGCGCCUUCUGUCGCCCAGAGUCCGGCUCCGCGCCUUCUGUCGCCCAGAGUCCGGCUCCGCGCCUUCUGUCGCCCAGAGUCCGGCUCCGCGCCUUCUGUCGCCCAGAGUCCGGCUCCGCGCCUUCUGUCGCCCAGAGUCCGGCUCCGCGCCUUCUGUCGCCCAGAGUCCGGCUCCGCGCCUUCUGUCGCCCAGAGUCCGGCUCCGCGCCUUCUGUCGCCAGUACCCUAGAGCCCGGCCCUAUUCAUGGAAAAAACACUGCCACUGCUGCGAGGGCUAGACAAGAAGCAAGGCAAAAUAUCCUAGAAGUUGGAUGGGAUCCUGCCACUUUCAGGAACCGGCAUUAUAAAAACUACCGCCGAGCCUCAUCACCUCUCCCAGUGUGCUCACCUGCCUCUCAUCAGUUAAUUAUUUUCACAGUGUUUCAGCCCCGGCCCGUCACACAUCUGGUGUCUGGAUCAACCCUUGAUAGCCUGCCGGCCUGCUCAUUGCCCCCAUCCAUGUGGGACCUGGCCUGCCCACGUUGUUCCACCAUGCUCAGCCUCUUCUCCUUCCUGCCCUCUGCCAUCCAUCAAAUAUGAGCAUUUUUGAAUAAAUCACUUCAAAUUUGUCUCCAGUUGUGCUCUGAACUUCACUGUUUAAACCACUCAAUGUUUAAAAUGUUAAAUUACAUGAAG